rnacentral:rRNA from 1 species
CUGCUGCCUCCCGUAGGAGUCUGGUCCGUGUCUCAGUACCAGUGUGGGGGACCUUCCUCUCAGGACCCCUACGCAUCGUCGCCUCGGUGGGCCGUUACCCCGCCGACUAGCUAAUGCGCCGCAUGGCCAUCCGCAGCCGAUAAAUCUUUAAACAUCGGGAGAUGCCUCCCAACGUUGUUACGCGGUAUUAGACGGAAUUUCUUCCGCUUAUCCCCCUGCUGCGGGCAGGUUCCAUACGUGUUACUCACCCGUGCGCCGGUCGCCGG